rnacentral:rRNA from 1 species
CGGGGUGAGUACAACAUAGGAAAUCUGCCUUAGGGUGGGGGACAACAGAGGGAAACUUCUGCUAAUACCCCAUAUGAGCUUGGUUGAAAUACCAAUCUUGAAAGUUCCGGCGCCCUAAGAUGAGCCUGUGCCUGAUUAGCUAGUUGGUGGUGUAAUGGACUACCAAGGCGACGAUCAGUAGCUGGUUUGAGAGGAUGAUCAGCCACAAUGGGACUGAGACACGGCCCAUACUCCUACGGGAGGCAGCAG